AGAGCGUAUGGUGGAUGCCUUGGCACAAUGAGCCGAAGAAGGACGUUGCAGGGUGCGAUAAGUCACGGGGAGGUCCCAAGCAACCUUUGAUCCGUGAAUCUCCGAAUGGGGGAACCCAGUCAUCGUAAUGGAUGAUUAUUCUCUGCCCAAUACAUAAGCAGAGGAAGAAGACCUGGUGAAGUGAAACAUCUCAGUAGCCAGUGGAAAAUAAAACAAUAAAAAGCUUUCUUUAUUUCACGGAGUAACAUGGUUCCAAUCUCACUUCGGUGAGAAAGUAACUGUGUUAUUUCGUGAAUUGAGAGUGUGAUUCCGUCAGUAGUGGCGAGCGAACGCGGAACAGCCCAAACCACAUAUGAUGUUGGUACACAUGAGAGUAGUGUUCGCAAGAAUAUUAAGCUCGGUGUGCCUUAAAGGACAGGCCGUUGUCUAUGUGGUGUAGUAAGAUGUACAAGCGGUAACCUGAAUAACCGACUGUAUCGAGUGUUUGUAUAGUAGAAAACUCCUGGAACGGAGUACUAUAAAAGGUGAUAGUCCUGUAUACGAAAUAUUCUCACUCUACAGCUGUACAUUCUUGAGUAGGUCAGGACACGAGAAAUCCUGUUCGAAUCUGUCGCGACUAUGCGAUAAGGCUAAAUACUCAUUGUGACCGAUAGUGGACUAGUACCAUGAGGGAAAGGUGAAAAGCAGCCCGGGAGGGCGAUGAAAUAGUAUCUGAAACCAUACGCUUACAAGGAGCGGGAGUCCGCAAGGAUGACCGUGUUCCUAUUGAAGAAUGAGCCUACGAGUAUAUUGUGUGUCGCUUGCUUAAGGGCCUCUGGUCCGAAGGCACAGGGAAACCGAGUCUUAAUAGGGCGCCGGUGGCACAUAUAUAACCCGAAACCGGGUGAGCUAUCCAUGACCAGGCUGAAAGAUCAGUAAAAUGAUCUGGAGGGCCGAACCCACGAGCCGUGCAACACUCCGGGAUGAGUCGUGGAUAGGAGAGAAAUUCUAAUCGAACUCGGUGAUAGCUGGUUCUCCUCGAAAUAGCUUUAGGGCUAGCUGUACGUGGUCCCUCUGGGGGUAGAGCACUGGAUGAGAUCGAGGUCCGAAAGGAUACUCAUGUCAAUCAAACUCCCAAUACCAGAGAUUACAAGCGUACAAGUCAGACUGUGAGGGCUAAGCUUCACAGUCAAAAGGGAAACAGCCCAGAUCGCAAACUAAGGUCCCUAAAUUAUCACUAAGUGUAGAAAGUGGUGUCGAUUCUUAUACAACCAGGAAGUUGGCUUAGAAGCAGCCAUCUUUUAAAGAUAGCGUAAUAGCUCACUGGUCAAGAGUCUUCGCGCUGAAAAUGUAUCGGGGCUAAGUGAUAUACCGAAGUUGCGGGCCUCCAGUUUACUGGAGCGCGGUAGAGGAGCAUUCAAAGCGGCGAUGAAGUCGAAUCGGUAACGAUCGGUGGAGCGCUUUGAAGAGAGAAUGUAGGCACUAGUAGCACCAAUGCGGGUGAGAGUCCCGCACGCCGAAAAUCCAAGGUUUCCAGGGUAACGAGAAUCGUUCCUGGGUUAGUCGAUCCUAAGGCCAGUCUGUCGCAAGGCAGGGUAACCGAUGGAAAAGCAGGUUAAUAUUCCUGCACUUGGAAGCAUUUGUUGAUGUAUCCGCAUACUAGAAGUGUGAGCGUUGUAUGGCUACACGUCUCGCAAGAGUGAGUUCAAGUCGCAAGACGAGGACAAGUCACAUGUAUAAGGUGCCAAGAAAAGUAUAUCAACGCGUGGUGCUUUCAAAUCGUACCAAAACCGACUCAGGUGGAUAGGUCGAGUAGACCAAGGCGCACGAGAGAAACAUGGUUAAGGAACUCUGCAAUACAACGGCCGUAACUUCGGGAUAAGGCCUCCCCUCGUAAGAGGGGCUCAGUAAAAGACCACUUGCAACUGUUUACCAAAAACACAGCUCCCUGCUAAAGCGUAAGCUGAUGUAUAGGGGGUGAUGCCUGGCCAGUGUCAGAACGUUAAGGAGAGAGGUGAUCCCUGCUUGCAGGGCGUAGCUUUGAACUGAAGCGCUGAUGAACGCCGGCGGUAACUAUAACCGUCCUAAGGUAGCGAAAUUCCUUGUCGGGUGAGUUCCGACCCGCACGAAUGGCAUAAUGAUGAGUGGACUGUCUUGACCAUGUACUCGGCGAAAAUGCAUUAGUCGUGAAGAUGCGACUUACCCGUAGCUAGACGAAAAGACCCCAUGAAGCUUUACUAUAACUUGGUAUUGGUGUAUUGCUUCGCAUGUUCAGUGUAGGUGGGACCCGUAAGGGGCCAAUGAGACACCACCCUUGUGCUGCGAUACAUCUAAUCUAUUCCCUUGAAUCAGGGAGUGGAGACAGUAUCUGGCGGGUAGUUUAACUGGGGCGGUUGCCUCCCAAACAAUAACGGAGGCGUUUACAAAGGUAGGCUUAGCUCGGAUGGAAAUCGAGCUGGACGUGCAAACGCAAAAGCCUGCUUUACUGCAAGGGCUACCACCCGCGCAGUCACGAAAGUGGAAGUUAGUGAUCCGACCGUUCAAUAUAGGAUGGCGGAAGCUCAACGGAUAAAAGUUACUCUGGGGAUAACAGGCUGAUCGCAUCCAAGCGUCCACAGCGACGAUGCGGUUUGGCACCUCGAUGUCGGCUCAUCGCAUCCUGGGGCUGUAGAAGGUCCCAAGGGUUUGGCUGUUCGCCAAUUAAAGCGGUACGCGCGCUGGGUUCAGAACGUCGUGAGACAGUUCGGUCUCCUGUCUGCUAUGGGCGAAGAAAGGUGAUGGAGCGCAUUCCUAGUACGAGAGGACCGGAAUGCACGAACCUCUGGUGUACCGGUUGUCCUGCCAAGGGCAUAGCCGGGUAUCUAAGUUCGGUACGGAUAAGCGCUGAAAGCAUCUAAGCGCGAAGUCGUUCCAAAGAUUACCUUUCAAUUGAGAUCUGUCCGAGACGAGGACGUUGAUAGGCACUAGAUGAACAGAUAGUAAUAUCUGCAGUCGAGGUGUACUAAUAGAUCGAAAACACUGCGA
rnacentral:rRNA from 1 species